rnacentral:ncRNA from 1 species
AAUGAGGAGCGUUGAGCAUCAGUAGCUGUUUCUUUGAAAAUCCCGAUUGACCGGAAGCAGUAAAAGGGUAUCGACGCCGAAGCGUUUUACCGCGGCGGGCGCGGAAUACGCUGGGUGCAGAGGCUAAUACCCUGCAACUGUCAUUCCGAGCGAAUGGAGCA